CACAGAGUACGGGGGAUGGCAGACACGUGGUUUCUUGCCUCUGCGAAUCUCCACAGCCCAAGGAAGGAGAUUCGACCAGCAGACCCUGGAGCCAGCCGAGCACUGGGGCAGCUGCCAGAACGUGUAGGAGGCGAUCAGAGUGAGGCUAGAACCAGCUACCCACCAAGAUCCACACAGAUGAGGCCACGAAGAGCUCUGCAUUGUCGGAAUGCACAGCAGGGACAGACGGGCAGCUGCUCAGCUAUGGGAAGGCAGGGACCUCACCAUGGUCUCUCCAUCAGGAAGUGCUGGUCUAGAAGUUUGGUAUUUUGCUACACCUACAAGACAAGCAACAAGGACCAAGCUGAGAAAAAAGCCUCACUUCUGGAGCCCUAGCAAAGGAGAAGCUGAGGCAAGAGGCCAGCAUUUACCCAAAGCCCUGCCGAUGGCCAGUCAGAGGUGGCAAGCCCCAGCCUGGCACCCUGAGUUCACUUGGCACUGGUUUUAACAUGUUGGAGGCUAAGGCUGCGAGGUGGACGUGGCCCACAGCCUGCCUGGAAAUACUCCUAGCCCCAUGGGGAGUGAAGUCAAAUUGGAGGAAUACCAAGCACCCUGGGAUUCUGCCUGGAGUGUGUGCUUUCUUUGGGGAUACAGCAGGAAAUGCUCUUGGAUUGGGUCAAGAAAGAAGUGUUUUGCUUGGAAGAGAAGGUAGGACAACAUUGGAACAGAAAACAAGAAUAAGAUGCAAGGCUCAGUGGCAGGGAUUUUGCCCAGAGUCUGUGAGAGGCAGUAGAAUGUCUGGUGGGAGAGCAUUGCUGUUGCAAACAUAGGGUUUGAAUCCUGGCUUCAUGUCUCAGGACUGUGGACCUUUGCAAGCACGCCAACAGCCUGGCCAUUCCUUCUCUGUGAAAUAGAGAGAAGAUUGGUUCUCGCCAUUAAAGGCUUUCAGGUGAAAUACAAUGAAUCUAAAUAACAGGUGUGGAGCGAGGUGAGCAUGUGGUCAUUUGGCCUGCCAUAUACACACAACACAGCUGGGCUCAGGAGGACGGUCCUGUGGCCACAACUGGGUCUGGACUCUUGAUUCAUGUACUGCUGUAGUUGGCUCCAAACAACCUUCUCCCCAACCUCAGCCAGUGUGAAAGACUCCAAAGAGUGAGGAGAUGGAAGGUUUAAGGGGAGCUAAUAGAUGUUCUGAGGAAUUCCAGUGACAAGGACAGAGUCAUUCUCCUAGGAGGGAGAACAUGGGUGCGGGGUGAGGCGCUACUACACAUGGAGCAGAGUGAUCCUUCUUGCCCUACAGAACCACCCAUGCCCUACAGAGACCUCCAUACCCUACAAACCUCCCAUAUAUUACAGAGCCCCCAUACCCUCCAGAGUCCCUCCCAUGCCUUACAGAGGGGCCCCAUCCCCUACAGAGGCUUCCCCAUACCAUACAGAGGCCCUCCAUUCCCUACAAGGCUUCAAAAGGACAGGACAGUUGGAGAAGGAGGCACAGAUUUAUGACCCAGGAAGAAUUCUGCUGGAGCCUCCAAGGAAGCAACAGGAAAUGCUCUGACAUGGCUGGGGUGGAAUGAGGAUUUGCGGGUAGCCAUAAACACACAUAAAUAAUAAUGAUAAAAUGACUGGAAAUACAAUUUUAAU